CAUCCAUAUCACAUUGAAACACUGGUUCUCAUAAUAUCACCAAAGUUAAGCAACGUUGAGCCUGGUCAGUUCCUAGAUGGGUGACCACUUGGGAAUACCAGGUGCUGUAA